rnacentral:rRNA from 1 species
GAUGAACGCUGGCGGCGUGCUUAACACAUGCAAGUCGAACGAUGAAGCUCAGCUUGCUGGGUGCAUGAGUGGCGAACGGGUGAGUAACACGUGAGUAACCUGCCCUUAACUCUGGGAUAAGCCUGCGAAACUAGGGCUAAUACCGGAUAGGAGCGCCUACUGCAUGGUGGGGGUUGGAAAGAUUCAUCGGUUGUGGAUGGACUCGCGGCCUAUCAGCUUGUUGGUGAGGUAAGGGCUCACCAAGGCGACGACGGGUAGCCGGCCUGAGAGGGUGACCGGCCACAAUGGGACUGAGAUACGGCCCAGACUCCUACGGGAGGCAGCAGUGGGGAAUAUUGCACAAUGGGCGGAAGCCUGAUGCAGCGACGCCGCGUGCGGGAUGACGGCCUUCGGGUUGUAAACCUCUUUCAGCUGGGACGAAGCGAAAGUGACGGUACCUGAAGAAGAAGCACCGGCUAACUACGUG